AGCUCUUUCGCCAGAGAUGAUAAUGACAGUAUCUGGUAAAGAAACCCCGGCUAACUCCGUGCCAGCAGCCGCGGUAAUACGGAGGGGGUUAGCGUUGUUCGGAAUUACUGGGCGUAAAGCGCACGUAGGCGGAUUGUUAAGUAAGGGGUGAAAUCCCAGGGCUCAACCCUGGAACUGCCUUUGAAACUGGUAAUCUAGAGUUCGAGAGAGGUGAGUGGAAUUCCAAGUGUAGAGGUGAAAUUCGUAGAUAUUUGGAGGAACACCAGUGGCGAAGGCGGCUCACUGGCUCGAUACUGACGCUGAGGUGCGAAAGUGUGGGGAGCAAACAGGAUUAGAUACCCUGGUAGUCCACACCGUAAACGAUGAAUGCCAGACGUC
rnacentral:rRNA from 1 species